CUAAACUUUGACAUAUCUUGAGUUGUAAUUUUAGCAGUUCCUAAAAUUGCUGAGGUUAUCUAAUGUUCAUGAUUGAAUCUGCCUCGACGAAUUCUAAUUUCAUAUGCUUUUCAGAAACUUUAUAAUAAACAAGUAUGGUCUUCUAAAGAAUACCAAAUGACUGGUGUGACAUUGUGGCACUUAUUGCUCCAAUAGAUCAUCAGCUUGAGAAACACAUGGUUCAAGCAGCAGAAC
rnacentral:lncRNA from 1 species